AACGUAGGGGGCAAGCGUUGUCCGGAAUUAUUGGGCGUAAAGAGCGUGUAGGCGGUCCGGUAAGUCAGCUGUGAAAGUCAAGGGCUCAACCCUUGAAAGCCGGUUGAUACUGUCGGGCUAGAGUCCGGAAGAGGCGAGUGGAAUUCCUGGUGUAGCGGUGGAAUGCGCAGAUAUCAGGAGGAACACCAAUGGCGAAGGCAGAUCUCUGGGCCGUAACUGACGCUGAGGAGCGAAAGCAUGGGGAGCGAACAGG
rnacentral:rRNA from 1 species